CAGACCUCACUACCCGAAGACACUUCUGAGCACGGGAAGGCCGAAAAUGUGCAAUAUGUGAAUUCAAAGAAAGCACCAAAUUCUAGGACUCCUACAAUAAGAGAACAAUAUGCCAUGAAGAGAUAUUAUCAGUUCUGACUUGUGUGCUCACUGCCUGAAGUGUGAUUGAUCACCAGGAAAUCAAGUUACUCUCCUGAGAGUUUCUGCAGAUUAAUCCCCAGCCUUCCCUCACCCUCUGUGCUGCUGUGCUCCUGUGGGACAUGAAGGUACUGGCACAGCAUGAAUGAGACACAGCCUAGCCCAUGAUGUGGACAUUUUCGAGGGUGCCCCCUUGACAGCUGAACUCCUUGAGGGUGUGUAUCUGUCUGCUCCUGCUCAUAAUCCUCAGUCAUUUCAGAUAGUUUUCUAAUAGUUGGGUUGUGAUUUUUUUUUUUAAUUUUUAUUUUGUUUUAUUUUUUCUUUCUUUUUUUUUCAGGAUGAUCCUUUGUCAUGAGGUUUUUUCUUCUAUUUCAGCUUUUUCAUCCUUUCUUUCAUUUGUCAGAAUCUUACGUGCUUUCCUGUCACAUAUUUUGUUUCAUUUUCUGAAGAAAUGGCAUCUCAAGGUAUUCAUCCAGUCUGUAAGUGCCAGUUUUUCAGAUCACCAGUAGCUUCACGGACCGUGAACAAAAGGGACUAAAAUUCCUCAGCACAGUUCACAUGAUUCAAUUUCACCUGAAUAAAAUCAGUCUCUGUCCAGUCGUAAUGCAGGAGAUAACCACUUGAUAUAUUUAUUUAUUGGUACAUAAGAAAAGUCUGUCUUGAAGGAAAGCUACAGAUAUAAGGAUAAUUGGAAGAGCAGAGAGAAUAAAAUAAAUGCUGAUGAUUUGUUCUCAGCACGUUGGAGUGAUUCAGCAGCCCUUCUCUGCACAAGAUCUGCACACAAGGAAGAAAGUGCUAAGACUGACAGAUAUAAGCUGACUACUUAUUGGCAGGUUUUGCUCAGAAUAUGGGUGUGUGAUACAUCCGCCCACAUUAGAAGCCCAGCCACAACAGAGAAGCUCUGUUACCCUUCCAGGUAAAACUUUCCCAAAUAUUUAGAAAUGUAAAUACAGCUCUUCUGACUAUGAGUUUUAGUUACCCCUACAAUUGGUCACCAGAAAAAAAACUAAGCAAAUGACAGUAAUCUAACAAAAAGCAGACAUGAAGAGCUGUGACAAGAAAAUAAGAUUUUUCUAAUGCUACCAUUUUUAAUAACCUAAAAUAAUUAAAGGGAAAAAAAGGAAUAAAAAUUGAACAUAUUGACCAAAAUAUAUUUAGUUUGUUGACCAUUUCAAUAAAUCAGGAAGUGACAUAGGUUGAUAACUAGAACUUGGCUAUUUUCAGAAAUUGAGAAUUUACUUAUUUUACUAAAAAAGAAACUUACCUUAACCUUUAAUUUAGCUUUGCAGAAACAAAAGAAGAACUACAUAUGGAAAUCUAAUCCUGACUGUGAUAAACAUGCAGGGUUUUUCUUGUUUGUUUGUUUUUUUAUUUGUCAUGCUGUUCAAGUUGGCUACUUGUAUAUUCUGAAGGAACUUAUAUCCAUGUGAAUGUUAUCACUAGUCCAUCAAUAUGCAGUACCUAGACAUUUUUUUUUCAUGCUAAUGAAUGCUAACAUUAUGUAUGGAUUAUUUUUUCUUUUAAUCCAGAGUGGAUCAUUAGAUUAUCUAGCAUGGGCUUUUAUAUAACCAAAUAAUAGUUAUCAUCUACUUAUUCUUUCCUUCAACUUAUAAUUUAAUAAUCUUCUAACUAGAGGAAAAGGCUAAACAUAAAGACAAAUAUUUUCUGGGUUCACAUUGCUGCAAUGAUGCAACUUAGUGAUUUGUUUUUUUAAUUAAAAUUGUUCAUCUUUAAUACUUGACCAGGAAUUUUUAUUUUGCAUUUUUCAAUGGAUUGAAGAUCUUUCUGCAGGUAUGUCACCAUGGUUUAAUCUUCUGAACAGAUAAAAAGAUUGAGUUCCUUAACUUUACCAGGAUUCAGUCUAGUAUUUGGAUUUUUAAGGAGACUUUUUAAAAAAAAACUACUUGUGACUGCAGGUGGUAUCCGAGAAUAGGUCUCAGGAGUGUUAUAAAGACAUGUAAUAUCACCUUCUCAAUUUUUUGGUCUCUGUUUGGGUGUAGACAGUGAGGAAAAUAUUAGGGAGGAAUUUGCUUUUGAAAGGUGAAGAUAUUUCAUCUUCAUGAAGAGCUACACAGUAACUCAGCCAUUCGAUCUCCUGUGCAAGAAGCAGCAAGGAAUUCUCUCAGGCAAAAAUCCCCUCAAAAUUUGCUUUGGAAAAUGCCUAGUUCCUCAUGGCUUUCUGGAAGCCUUAUUAAAAUUCCAACUAAUAAUAAUAAUAAAAAAGUUAAUUAAAUCUGAAGUGGAUUAAGUCUUCUAGUGGCCUAUUCCAAAUGACAAAUAAGAGAUUUUCUGAAAUUAGCAGAUGAAGCUGAGCCUGUUCUGUGGAACUUCAAGCUGAAUAUUCGCCUGAAUAUUCACCUUGUCUACAAAGCAUUGCAUCACCAGGAGCACUGGUUAUAUUUUCCCUUAGAAGGAAACAGGAAUGAAGUGUAGAAGUUGAAAGAAAACAAAGGCAAAAUUAUUUUCUGCCUUUUAAAGUACCUCUCUAAUGCACUGAGAGGGUAUUUAUUCUCUAACAAUUCAUUGUAUACUACAGAAAAAUCACCAGCAGACAGGGCAUGAUUCCUGUGAUAUCAGUGAGACUUUUGCCAUUGAUCUCAAUGGUAUUGGAAUCUCACCUUGGUGAGAGAUCACUUUUGUUUUCUUUUUUUUUUUCCACUCUUAAAAACACUAUUCGAUGAAAGCAAAAUUAGAAAUUAUUUGGACAAUGGAGCUGUAGAUUUCCUUCUAAAAUGCUUAAGAAUGCAGUUACCUAUGGCACAGAAAGUUCCACUAUCAGAAACAUUUCAUGAAAGUUUUUCUAUUAAUUUUAUUUUGCUGUAGUCAAUUACCAUCUUAAAUCAACCAGUAAAUAUUGUACAGAGUUGUCUUGAAGAAAAGAAGUCAAUAUUUUUCAUCCCUAGGAAUAUUGGAGCUUUAAGGGAGACUCUGAAUUGCAUGUACCUAAAUAAUGUGUCUUUGUUUAAGAUGUAACCAGUUACCAGUAAUUUUACAAACUACUUAGUACAGCUUUACUGAGUUCCUUUUCACUAUUGGGUUUCUUUAGGACACAACUAAAUGAAUUAUCCAAAAGACUCACAUGUAAAAAGAAAUUGUUUUAAAAAUUCUAUCCUUAAUCCCAUGGCAAAAAUUCUUCAUUAUAAGGAUCAUGAUACAUGCCCUCUAAAAUUGUCAUAUAAGCUUUGACCACUUCAUUUUUAAAUAUACAAAUACAUAGUAAAAUCUUGUCUGUCGAACAUAGGUAAUUAAUCCAGAUACUGACAUUCAGAUACUUUUAAAAAACAAGAGUUGAUUGAGAUUUGAAUGUGGCGGAGACCUUGAACUCUUCUCCCUGCAAACUGCUACAAAAAGCUUUUGCAAAAGUUUCAAAUAGUAACAUUAUAUAUUGCAAAGUCUGACUUUCAGUUUCACAGGUUAACCCUUUAACGUACAGCUGUGCCUCCAGGUCUGUGUCCCAACACGUGUGUGUAUGUGUGCACCAUGAUGAACCUUCUAGGAUUACAAAGAGGAUUUCCAAAACGCUUUGGCAACAUAAAUUAACAUGUCCAGAGUCUAUCAGAGCACAGGCUUUCAUAUAAAUCACAACCCCCUGUAAGACUCCAGUCCCGGAAGCUGCCAGCUCACAGACUUGGCUAGGAGUUUUAUUUUAUAUAUGUAGGGUUCUUUAAUAUCUCAAGAUAGCAUCAAGAGAAUAAGCCACGGACUUGUUCCCAAGACAUUUCUUUAUUAUUUAGGAGAGUAAAUAAGGGAACGUGGCCAAAGUUCAAAGGGACAUCACACAGGCUAGACAAAAAUGUUCCACCACAAUACUGACUCAGCAUAUACUAUUAACCCACAACCCUCAUGUCAAAAUCCAACCAAUACACAACCCUUAA